AACGAACGCUGGCGGCAGGCCUAACACAUGCAAGUCGAACGAUAUAGUGGCAGACGGGUGAGUAACGCGUGGGAACGUACCUUUCACUACGGAAUAGCUCUGGGAAACUGGUGGUAAUACCGUAUACGCCCUUCGGGGGAAAGAUUUAUCGGUGAAAGAUCGGCCCGCGUUAGAUUAGGUAGUUGGUGGGGUAAUGGCCUACCAAGCCUACGAUCUAUAGCUGGUCUGAGAGGAUGAUCAGCCACACUGGGACUGAGACACGGCCCAGACUCCUACGGGAGGCAGCAGUGGGGAAUCUUGCACAAUGGGCGAAAGCCUGAUGCAGCCAUGCCGCGUGAAUGAUGAAGGCCUUAGGGUUGUAAAAUUCUUUCGCUAGGGAUGAUAAUGACAGUACCUAGUAAAGAAGCCCCGGCUAACUUCGUGCCAGCAGCCGCG
rnacentral:rRNA from 1 species